AUAUAUGACUUGUAGAUCUUACAUUUACCCCCACCCUCAUCUCUCAUCAGUUCAAGUAGUCCCAGGUCCACUUCAGGCUGUGGCAGUAUCCAAGAAGGAACAGCUGGCGGCACCACUGCUGGAGAGUAACUCCUAUCCAGUUUACCUAGUUCCCUAGGCUUCUCCCUAGCAACCCAACCAAAGCUCUUUGGUGGCGCCUUAUCAUGUUCCCAGCACGGCUCAAUUGCACUUAUUGUUGGAUGGUUGAUAUGUCCUUGUAGAUGCCCAAUAUGACAUUAUUAUCUGUGUCCUCAACUCCAACCGCAUUUCCCCCAUUUCCACCUGCAAUGCCGGCACUGAUGUUGUUUUAAAGGCCCCACUACAUAGUCUUAACGCUUUUACCUGUAUUACAUCUAAUUUUCCCAACACGGUUUUAGACGCCGACCUGUAAGCCACACACCCAUAGUCUAUUACUGAUCUGAUCAGUCCCAUAUAUAUAGCUUUUAAAGCAGCCCUGUCAGCUCCCCACUCUGUUCCCACCAAGCAUCUCAUUACAUUUAAAACCUUUUUACAUUUAUUAACAACUUUCUCAAUAUGUCCCUUCCAGGUAAGCUUCGCAUCAAACCACAUUCCUAAAAAUUCGUACGAGUUCAUCCUUUUCAGCUCCUUCCCAUAUAAAUAGAUUCUGCCCAUUGUCCCAAUUUUCUUUCUUGUAAAGAAAAGGGUAUUUGUUUUUUCCACUGAAAAUCUAAAUCCCCAUUCCAAUGACCACUGUUCCACUCUUUUGAUUGUUUCCUGCAUCUGUUUCACCACAUAUUCCACAUUCCUACCUCUUUUCCAUAGUGCCCCAUCAUCUGCAAAUAAAGAUCUCCCUAUAUUAUGUGUAUUGUAUGUAUUUUCAUAUACAUCAUCAAUCAUUAUUGAAAACAAUAACGGACUAAUCACACUUCCCUGCGGUGUUCCAUUGUCCACCAAAUGGCUGUCCGACACACACCUUCCCACUCUUACUUCUAUAGAGUGCCCCACCAAAAAUUGUUUAAGCCAUCUGAACAUUUUAUCCAAUAUUCCUAAUUUCUUAAUUUUGAUUAAUAGUCCCUCUUUCCACAGUAAAUCAUAGUCUCGCCUCGAAGUAUUACCCGUAAGGAAUCAGAACAUGUAUCUUAAAAUGUUAUUUAUUUUUACUUCAAUGCACUAGUUUAGCUAAGUUAGUUAACAUUAGUUUCUUUCCAUAACAAUAUAUUUUUUAAUCAAGCUAACUUCAUAACCUUCAUGGAUAUUCAUCGAUUGUUCUAUCUGACUCUUUUACAGCAAUUUCUGACUGCAAAAGCAUCCUGUGUCUGCCAUCCCACUGCAAGAGUGUCCGGGUCCACGUCACUGACUGCACCAUCCCACUGCAAGAGUGUCCUGGUCCACCUCACUGACCUGCUAGGCAUAAAACGGUGAAUGUUUCUGACUGAAAAAGCGAUUCCAAUGUUAAAAAGCGCAUGUGUCAUGGUCUAGCUAAAUUAGACUUGCCUAGUUCCCAUGUGUUUUUAUGUUUUAUAUGUGCAACCUGCUGCUAGUAAAGGUUGCUCUUUCCGUUGCUAUAGGUCAGUUGGAAUUUUAGGCCGGUCAGAAAAUAGGGGCAGUACAUGGUCGGUCUCAGCUCAUCACAUUCUUGUUUUAAUAUUUGUUUUGGUUUUGUUUGGCUGAUGGGAUGUGGAGGUCCACUCUACAUUUGCAUUUCUGCACACGAUCCCGGUAAUCAUCAAGAGAACAAGCCCCAUUUAGAUAUGGAGAGAAGACUAAAUCCCUGAAGUCAAGUGCAUUACUAUCGGUGUUCGUCACACAGAAAGCAUUUGAACUCCUACAAGGGACAACUAUCUUCACCAAAUUGGACCUCCGUAACGCCUACCACCUGGUCCGGGUCAAGGAGGGAGACGAGUGGAAGACGGCCUUCAACACACCUACAGAGUCGUCCUCCAGCGCCUGCUUGAGAAUCAUCUCUUUGUAAAACCUGAAAAAUGUUCCACGUCUCUGAGGUGUCCUUUUU